CCUGCGCAGCAGAACCGAACCGACAGGUUCCGGCAGAGCGGCCCCUGAGGGCCGCGUGCGACUGUCAAUGUGAGCGGAUCCCGCCGCAGCGCGCGGAGCGGCCAUGGAUGCUGAGGCCCGCUGCACGCAGCACGGAGUCGCAGCCCUACCGGUACGGGCAGCCCCGGACCGAAUCGAACCGAACCGAACCGGACCGGACCAGGGAAACGAACAUGAACCAAACUCACCGAUCAGGAGAGGCUGUGAUGUGAGCGGAGCAGCAGAGGAGCAGUGGAGGAGCAGGAAGAGGAAGAGGAGGAUGGGCUGAGGAGGGGGAGGGGCUGAGCAGGGCGGCUCUUACGUCACCCUUUUAUCCUUCCUCCCACCAGCUUAACUGUACAGACGGCCCCAUAGAGAGGAAAACCACUUCCUUCCCUUUGCAGCCUGCAUGAAGGACAAAGUACGGAAGCUCAGAAGGUCCAUCUCUACAUGGCUCCUGCAGAUCUUGCCUCUGGGCUCCUCUCACACAGUCGAUGACCUGGAGUGGCCCUUAGAAAUGAAGAACCCAUGUUUUCACAAUCUGAGGCCCACAUAGUUUCACUCAUUCAUGUUUUCCUUUUUCUGGAGACGUUGAAUAAAUUCUGCAGGAUUCCAACAAAUCAA